CGGGGCUUCUGGGUGACAGACAGCUAGAAGGGCAAGCCGUAUGUCAUCAUGGUGACUGCCGAGCGAUUUAAGGAAAUGGAGUGAUUAGAGCAGAGAGGAAGAGGCUCGAGCCUGAAGGAGCCACUGGCAUUAAAGCAGAGUACCAAGAUCCAUGGAUGUGCGCAAGGUUCUGUGCAUUUGAGAAGUGUGCACUUGUUGGUGUCUGACAUUGGUCACGCACUGUCACGUGACCAUCUCAUCCCACGCUGCCAUUGGCUGGCACCUGUGGGGCUCUGUGAAGAAAAGCUUUUCUGACAGCAGCCAGGUGCCCAAAGGAGUUGCUGGAGACUGGGAGAAGGACAAUGUCGGUGGGAGCAGGAGAGCAGUGGGGGCUCUGGAGAUGGCAUCACCAUAGAGGUUCUGGGAUGUUCUGGGAUGUGACCUCACAGCCACUGCGACUGGCAAGAAUCCACAGAGACGAUCACGCGUCUGAAUAGUUAUUGGCUAAUGAAGUGCGUGUGAUGUUCUGCAAACCAGCAUAGAAGCCAUCGUCCUACAUUUCCGAGGAGAGGGCGUCCUCUGCUGUUUAAUGUUAGGAACACAACGACCUGCAAAAAGAGGCCGUUCAAAAUGGAGUCACGAAACAGGCCUAAUUCCACAAAUUCCACAGCUUGAAUAUGACAAAAAAAGAUUUUUAAAAAGAUGCACAUUACUACAUGUUUUUUAUUUUAUUUGAUAAGGGAGCUCCUUGAUGAACAGUGUAAAAGAUAACAUCUAUUCUUUGAAAUCGAUCUUAAAGUGGAAUAACUAGGACACUCUCUUGUUCCAUAUCUGCUCCUCUUCACUUCAUCGGUCUACAUGUGCUGCCCAUGUGGCACAUAUAUUGGUUCUGUUGUUGUUGCCACCGUCAGCACUCUGCAAAUUAUUCAUUAAAACAAGAAUAAUAUAAUGUCUUGAAAAAUGAACAUAUAUGUGAGUGUCAAACUGUACAAGGUAUUCGAUGCUUUUCUCUGCUAUAACCAUGUAUCACUGUACA